AGGUGAUAUCUUGCCUUGUAAAGCGACUUCUUAAGGCCACCGAGCCAUUCAUUACUCAUGAGGCCGUGGCCUGCACUAAGACAGCAAGGCAAUGCUGGAGUUCUUCAAUGCUACUCUUUAAGUGUACGCGUCUUUCCUUGAAAGACAAAUCUAUCUCAGGUGGAGAGGAUUCCUGCAAUCCGGAGGCGUGGCAGGCUUCCAUUGAUCCAAGAAAUUCUUGGCAUUAUCUAGCAUUCACCAAGAAUGGUUGGUUUGAAACUAUAGUGGAGAACGGUUAUCCUUUUUUUAUUUGGCUGUAGAAACUUCCUACCUCUUGAAUUGUAGGUGGCAGUGCUCCCAAGGAUGAGCGUUUUAUCUUCCAUGCUGAUGUUGAACCCUACAUUCUUGCAGAUAAGCUUAGAAUGGAAAGACUCGCCUAAUGGAACCAUCCAUCCUUGGAACAACACCAAGAAGUUUCAUCCCAGGAAUUAGGCACCUGGAAGAGGGAUGCAAUCACUGGUUACACUUCCCACAUGGACUUUCAUGCAUGAAUGACAGCCGCAUUCAUCUGUCAUCCUCUCCCAACGUCCCCAAUAAACGAAGAAAAUACUUGAUGACAGAUCAUAAUUAUUUUAAGAGUCAUGUACGUCCCCAUGCUCUAUUAUCUUGUCACAUAUAUGGAUCAUUCACACAAACAUGUAUUGGCCCAUGCUUAUUACUCGUAUCACCAUGGAAGCCAUCUUCUUUCCUUUUGUUCGGUCUCAUUGUCAAGCGAUCCCCGCGAGCAAGCAAGAUAGAUGUUAUGGGUGGCAAAACUAAUGGAAGCUUACAAAUCAUCCAAUGGAUGUAAAUCGCCCGCUACAUGAUCACUAUUCGUAGGUACACCUUAGUCUAAACCUCUCGACUACAUGCACUCAACGGAUCACCAGUUCAUGAAAACAUAACUUCGUUUAGGAUGUUCCUUGAUAAUUUAACAACGAAAGAGCCUACUGAAAAAGUACAUGGAUUUUCCAAAUAGAAGAAAAAGAUGAUAGAAGUAAUGAACAUUUGGCUAGUUCUCUCACACUCAUCUUCAUACGUAGCCUGAUGAUCUGAUCACAUCACUAAAAAAGGAAAAAG